UACGGAGGAUUCGAGCGUUAUCCGGAUUUAUUGGGUUUAAAGGGUGCGUGGGCGGACUGGUAAGUCAGCUGUGAAAGUUUACGGCUCAACCGUGAAAUUGCAGUUGAUACUGUUGGUCUUGAGUAUACAUGAGGUGGGCGGAAUUUGUGGUGUAGCGGUGAAAUGCUUAGAUAUCACAAAGAACUCCAAUUGCGAAGGCAGUCUUCUGGGCCAUGAUUGACGCUGAGGCUCGAAAGCGUGGGUAGCAAACAGG
rnacentral:rRNA from 1 species